UAAAUUCCCCGUUUCCUGCUGUGGGAGGAUGUUUCCUCUCUUUCUUCUUCUCCUUCGUUGCUCUUCAUGUUUCUCUCCAAUUGUUGUUAAAGGUGAUUUUUUUUUACCACCAAAUAUGCGCAUUAGCCAUAUUUGGAGUUGCUUCUUGCAGUUUCAUCAAAGCAGAGUGGCUUCAAAUAGCUGAAACCACAAGUUUGUUCGAAGUGACAGAAUAACCGAAGAACAAAAGUUCCUAUUGGGUUUCCUGCUGUGACCUGCUGGAAAGUUUAUUUGACUUUUCCAGAAGUUCCCACGUCUAACUCGGCACAAACACGAGAUUCCACGAGCAACGGGAAACCUGGAGAGAGAGCGCAGCCAAAGCGGAGGAGAGGCGGCGAAGAAGACAAAGCCAAGUCUGUGCAGCAAGCGGCGAUAGCAUCGCUGCCGAAGUCAAAGAGCCCGUCUGUCUCCAACGACUCUCAGAAGCUCAGCCAGCAAAGAGGCGCGAUGCACACACAGCGAAGAAACUCGCAAAGAAAGACAAAACAGAGACACGACACACGGGGCGUCCACACUGACGACCUCGUUAAUUAUCAGUUCAUUUGGAAACUUUUUGGCUCCACUGCUGAUAAAUCAUCUUUUCUGACUAGUUUAUGAGCUAGAAGUUGGAAAUUAACCCUGAAAGCACCAACAGAAAUAAAGAUAUUUUUUUGACUUGA